AUUGAACGCUGGCGGCAGGCCUAACACAUGCAAGUCGAGCGGAUGAAGGGAGCUUGCUCCUGGAUUCAGCGGCGGACGGGUGAGUAAUGCCUAGGAAUCUGCCUGGUAGGGGGGGAUAACGUCCGGAAACGGGCGCUAAUACCGCAUACGUCCUGAGGGAGAAAGGGGGGGAUCUUCGGACCUCACGCUAUCAGAUGAGCCUAGGUCGGAUUAGCUAGUUGGUGGGGUAAAGGCCUACCAAGGCGACGAUCCGUAACUGGUCUGAGAGGAUGAUCAGUCACACUGGAACUGAGACACGGUCCAGACUCCUACGGGAGGCAGCAGUGGGGAAUAUUGGACAAUGGGCGAAAGCCUGAUCCAGCCAUGCCGCGUGUGUGAAGAAGGUCUUCGGAUUGUAAAGCACUUUAAGUUGGGAGGAAGGGCAGUAAGUUAAUACCUUGCUGUUUUGACGUUACCAAAAGAAUAAGCACCGGCUAACUUCGUG
rnacentral:rRNA from 1 species